CUGCCAGAAUUCAUAUGCUUGUUCCGAAGAUUCAAGCCAUGCAUGCCUAGAAGAAAAAUUGGUGCCCAUCUGGAGCCAAAUGGCCCCUCUUGGAACCACCAAGGAAUCAGCGAACGGCUCCGCAUAUCUGUUGUUACCUAUCGUGGUAAGUUAGGUGUGGAUAUAGCAUGGAAAAGCUGUGUGUAACACAGCCAAAACGGGGCAAUCGCAGGCCAGCUGGCGCAGUCCUGCGGGCUAAGCGUGACCCAUACACAUGCGUCCCACCCCUUGAAUACCUCUCAUAGUACCUACAUCCUCUGGGCUAAUUGGCCUUCCACAGGUCAUCUGCCCAUCGGAAGGCGGGGAAACGGAGGCCUCUGCUUGCCUGGGAAGCUCUCCCCGGCCGUUAACGCUGCGGCUGUGCCUCCCUCCGGGCAAAAUUUCCCAGCAGAGACUAACCACAAGCGCACGAUGGGCUUCAGACCUAUCAGCUAGAUGGUAGGGUAUUGGCCUACCAUGGCUAUGACGGGUACAGAGGAUUAGGGUUUGAUCCUGGAGAGGUAGCCUGAGAAAUCGCUCCCACUUCUAAGGAAGGCAGCAGGCGCGUAACGUUCCCAAUGCUAGAAACCCUAGUGAGGACGUAAUGGGACAUAACAAUGCAGCCCUUAGAAAGGUUGUAAUUGACCAUGGGGUGGGCCCAAACA
rnacentral:rRNA from 1 species